rnacentral:rRNA from 1 species
GAUGAACGCUGGCGGCGUGCCUAAUACAUGCAAGUCGAGCGAACGGACGCGAAGCUUGCUUUUCUGAUGUUAGCGGCGGACGGGUGAGUCACACGUGGAUAACCUACAUAUAUGACUGGGAUAACUUCGGGAAACCGGAGUUACUACCGGGUACUAUUUUGACCCGCAUGGUUCAAAAGUGAAAGACGGUCUUGCUGUCACUUCUCGAUGGAUCAGCGCUGCAUUAGCUAGUUGGUAAGGUAACGACGUACCAAGGCAACGAUGCAUAGCCGACCGGAGAGAGGGAUCGGCCACACUGGAACGGAGACACGGUCCAGGCGCCUACGAGAGGCAGCAGUAGGGAAUGUGCCGCAAUGGGCGGAAGCCUGACGGAGCGACGCCGCGUGAGUGAUGAAGGUGUUGGGAUCGGAAAACUCUGUUAUGAGUGAAAAACAUAUGUGUAAGUAACUGAGCACAUCUUGACGGUACCUGAAGAGAAAGCCACGGCUAACUACGUG